AAGAGGUCAAGACUCUGCUCGUCGUUCGCUGCCCUAAGUGGUUACCCUUCCUCACGCAUUGCCACCGUCGUCCGCCUCUGCUUCGUAGCGCAUCACGAAGGAAUAUUCUUCCUGUUUUAUCUAACAGAGACAUGAACUUUAGUAAUCUCGCAACAAGCAUAUGCAAGCGUGUGAAUGUGAGGGACCUGGUGACCAAUCUUCCUGUAUAUGGCAGCGUCACUGAUGGAUCUGCUGGCGGAUUAAGCUUGAUGUUCAGGCGUUGGGCCACCAAAAAGACAGCCGGAUCCACCAAGAACGGACGAGAUUCAAAACCUAAAAAUUUGGGAGUGAAGAAGUUCGGGGGUGAGAGAGUGAUUCCUGGAAAUAUCAUAGUUAGACAGCGGGGCACUCGGUUUCAUCCUGGAAACUAUGUUGGGAUGGGAAAAGAUCACACCCUUUAUGCACUCAAGGAAGGAAAUGUCAAGUUUGAAAAGCACAAGCUGAGUGGUCGCAAGUGGAUUCAUGUUGAACCGAAGGAAGGCCAUGAGCUUCACCCACUCUAUUUGAAAGCAGCUGCUGCGGCUUCACAACAGUUGGAAACAGCAUCCUAAUGCCCGGUCUUUAUUCAUAUCUAUGGCUCUUAGUUACCCUAAUUUUGGAACUAGGAUAUGAAAGGGAGCAUGUUCUGGAUUAUGUGUUUAGCUCUCCCCGCAUUUGGUUUUCCAGAAGAUAUUGCUUCGGUGUAUGGCCCAAACGCUUCUGGAGGUGGCUCGGGUGCUGUCCUGAAUAUUUAAGGGGAGGCCAUUGUGUCCCUAGGUUGAUUUACACAUGCCUCUCUAGCAGCUUUGUAACUUAGAAGCAUGCUAAUUAUUGGUGUAGUGAUCAUUGACUAUGUAUCACCUGUUGUUUUGAAGGAAAUUAUGGUUACUUUUUCUCUGUGCAGGUUGAGGUUGGGACAACUCACGACUGAUAGUGUGAUGGGGCUCCCCAAAUCUGUCCCCGGAAAACUCUUGAAGGUGGCGCUGCAGAAGUAGAUAAUUUUGUAUAUUUCCAUGUCGUCGCAUUGUCCCAAUUGGCCAUUCUUUAUCUUAUGACUUUACUGACUGUAUACUCUUUUUAUCUCUUGUUUGUCGACAAUAUUUUACAGACUGGGAACACAGAUGGUGGCAGAAGCAGCAGUGAGGAAAAAGUUGCUAUUGAUACAGGCUGAUAUUAAAAUCUCUUUAGCGGAUAUAUAUUGCGACUCUGUCAUUGGGUUUUUUUGGGCCGUGGGUCGCGUGGAUCUUGCAUUCACACCCAAUAAAAUAUCCACUUUAGGCCGUGGGCUCUCAUGGAUUUAUUUCAAGAGGGAUACAUGUAUGAUGUGGUUUUAGAUUUUUUUUUAAAAAAACAUUUGCCAGUUUUUUGUGAUA